CUUUAGGUGCCCUCCUCAAGAUAACGUCAUUUAAAGAGCGAUGGUCUGCACAACGUAAAAAAAACCAGAAUAAAAUCGGAGGAACCUGCCGUAGAUGAGCCCAUUACAGCUCGCCUAUAGGUGUCCUCCUCGGGAUAGCGUCAUUUAAAGAACGAGGGUCAGCACGAUGUA